CCGAACCGUUCGUUUUGAUAUUAGCGAUGAUUGGUUAGCGAUAUUAAAUGUUAUCACCAGGAGUUUUAUCGUUAAUUUUCAACUUUUUAAAAUUGAUAAACAUGAGUACGAGAGUUUAUGGGCGAAACGCCAGUCAUAUUGGUUUUGCAACUAGUUGAAGAUCGAAAUAUCAUAUUUUUUUCCUCACCGAAGUGACGAUGAUGCCAUAUUUUAGAUGUACCUAUCAAUUUAUAGAUUAAGAUAAAGGUACGUAUGAUAAACGACAUUUCCAAAUCACGGUAAGAUUUCAAUCAUGAUAUUAAAUAAGAACUAUAAUAUUCAACUUGUUCUGGUUUUUAAAUAAAUUGUAUUUACCAAAUGAAUUACAAAAGUUUUUCAUCUUAUAUAAAGAAAUACACCAGAUGGGUAGGUAAUUAUCAGUUUUUCAAUGUUGAAAUAAGGACUAAUCAAUAAAUAAAACACGAAAUACUUUUAGACUAAAUAUUUUUUACAUGGGUAAAGAUGAUCUUCAUAGUAAUUAACAAUAGGUAUAUAAUUUUGGUAUAAUGUUGAUAGUUAAUUAAGAUUUGGGCUUUUAAAAACAAAUUACCAAAUAAAUUAGUGUUAAGUUCAGUCUAAGUUGUCAUUUUUCAAAUAAUGUUCCGUUUUCUAUCAAUUCACAUUUGUACGGGUCACAUUUAGACAUUUUACCGUUAAUAGUGUAUGUCAAGCCAGUACAAAUAGAGAUCAUGCCUAUUGGCUAUGGCUUUAAAUUUAUUGGGAAAAUACAUAUAUAAAUAGUAUAUAAGUUCAUUAUAUAUUAAGCCAUGACUCUUAUACGCGAUACUAAUGAUAUCAUAACAAAUCCUUGGUUCACAAAACAUUUUGAAAAAACAUUUUUUAUUUUCCAUGUCAUAGAAUAUAGACCAUUUAUAUGACAUUUUACCAAAAAAAAAUGAUAAAGGUAGAUAAUGAAUUAAAUUUAUCAUACUUAAUAAAAGUAUACAAAUAAUAAUAAUAGUCAGUAAUCAUUCAAUAUUUUGACAUAUUAUACAAAUUACGAUAUUGCAUCACUACCAAUAAGCAGAGCUUAAAAUAGGAGAGUAGUUAUAAAAAAUAAAUAUAUAAGUACCUAUAAGCAAUAAUAAAUAAUAAGUGAAUUAACAUUUUUAGACUUACCUAUAUUAAUAUCUUAGAACAUUAAAUGGUGUACAAAUAACAUAAAGAAAAUAUAAAGAAUAAAUAAGUGUCAAGUUUCGAGAUGCAUUGUUUAGUGAGCCACUACAUACAUUUUGCAUACUUGAAUUGUUUUAUACAAUAAAUAAUUACUUAUCCCAUCAUUAUUUUUCUCACAACUGAUACAUAAAAAUUUGAAACCAAAUUUGGCUUUCCCUUUCUAUCAAUUUAACAAAAUCCUAUACCCUCAUUCAAUCAAUGUUUUUUUUUUAAAUUUUCGUAGUAUUUAAAUGUAAUUCUGAAUUAAUUUCAAAUACAAUAAUAUCAAUCUCUGUUAUUAGUCAUGUGUGCUUUAAACGUCAAUGCAUACCAUGUAAAAUAGUGCAUAAAUCAUUGUUAUUGUGAUGCGUAAUAGCAUUUUUCAUUAAAAGAUUCCAACUAUUUAUAGAACACUGAUUAAGUGAAGAAUUAAACUUAAUGCGUUACUCACUAUUGUUUAUCAUAAAUUAAACGCUUCACAAAAUGUUCAACAGUUUAUUCGUGUAUAUUAAUUAAAUAUUACAUAACAUAAUACAGUAUAACUGUUUAUAAAACUAUCCAUUUAUUACAUGCACAAUGAAGUUUCCCACUUUUGAAAUUAUCAUUCACAUGUACAAUGCUUUAAGUGUUAAAAUGUGUAGGUAUGAGUACUAUUUUAAUCAUACCAAAUUAAUUUUGUUUUUAUAUGAAGAGUAUAAAAAGUUGAACUUAAAAUAUUCAUUUAAAUCAUUAUAAUCUUGACCUUUAAAUGCAUUCUUCAAUCAAUGAUGCAUAUUAUUUGUUUGAUACUUAUAAAAAAAACUCAGAAGGAUAAAUUCAACUUAGUUAAACACUUAUGCAUCAUGAAUAGCAUGCAAAUGAAUUUUUUUUUACAAACAUUAUAUUUUAAUUUAUUAAAGUUUAUCCACUUUUAUAUUUAAAACUAUAUAUUAUAUUGUUUAAAAGUGUGUUUUUACUUAUUGUUUUAUUAUAGUUCAGUGUUUUAGUGAUUCCUUUAAUUGUGUAUUGUGCACAAUGAAUAUCUUAUUCGUCAAUAAUUAACUACAUAUAUAAUUAAAAAUCUACAUUCUUUACCUGUAAUUAUCUUUGUAUCAAUAUUAACAGUUUUGAUAAUUUUACCCUUUAUAAAAAGUAUGUUAUCUAUAAAGUAACAAUAUCACAAUUUAAAUUGAAACUAUUAAAAUUAGUUUUAGUUACUAUUUAUAUAAACACUUUAACAAUUUGUCUUUUAAUAUACUACUGUAUAUCACUAUGUUAUUAUUUAUCUUUAUCUUAAUUUUUUUUGUUUUUAUGCCUAAAUGUAUUUAAAUCUGUAAAUAGUAUUGUUAAGGAUAACUCAUUAAAUUAAGAAGCAUUGAACUCUUGUCUCCCCACAAGCUACGGCUUUUGGAGACAAAUUUUUUCACAUCCUAUUAUAUUAUGUUUUUAAAUUGUAAUUUUUGAAAUAACAAUAAACUAAACAUUAUUAUUAUCUUAGUCGUUGUCUAUAAAAUACAAAAAUGUAUUUUCUUUUUUUAUUUAGGAUACUCCAACUUCGUGUUGGUUCAAUUGGCUUAUCUUCUGGAUGUAGAUAUUGCAGUUGUUUCAAAGUCUUUAGAUGAUUGUGGGCAUUUAUCAUAAAACGAAAUUACCAGCUGACAAUUUGACUCGUAGUUUCGGCGGCUCCGGCAAGGCAAUUGUGAAUCAACCAGCCAGUCAGGACGAGUUCUUUUAUAAACAGAUUAUAAAAUCAAUGUAUUGCUCGUUACCGUAAUAAAAAGCAAAAACCAUAGAGGUA